CUUCUCUCUCUCUUUCUCUAUAUCUCUCUGUCUCUCUCUACCCCUCCCUCUGUCUCUUUCUACCUCUCUCUCUCUCUACCUCUCUCUCUCUCCUCUCUCUCUUUCUCUCUAUCGCUCUGUCUCUCUCUACCCCUCUCUGUUUUUUUUUCUCUCUCUCCUCUCUCCUCACUCUCCUUUCUCUCCUCUCCGCUCUCUCACUUUUUCUCGUUCUUUGGGUGCCAGAGAAGCAUUGUUAUUCAUCUGCCUUCCGCAUUUACUUUCAAAAUGGUCCUUAAAAAACAUCCCAGAAAGAGCGAGAGAGAGGGGGAGAGAGAGACAGAGACAGGGGGAGAGAGAGAGAAAGAGAGAGAGAGCGAGAGAGAGAGAGAGAAAGAUACCAGACCCCAAAUCAGAGAAAAUCAAAGCAGCAGUCCAUCAAUACCGAC
rnacentral:lncRNA from 1 species